rnacentral:rRNA from 1 species
GACGAACGCUGGCGGCGUGCUUAACACAUGCGAGUCGAACGAUGAAGCGGUGCUUGCACCGUGGAUUAGUGGCGAACGGGUGAGUAAUACGUGAGUGACCUACCUUUGACUCUGGGAUAAGCCUGGGAAACUGGGUCUAAUACCGGAUACGACCAAUCUCUGCAUGGGGUGUUGGUGGAAAGCGUUAUGGAGUGGUUUUAGAUGGGCUCACGGCCUAUCAGCUUGUUGGUGAGGUAAUGGCUUACCAAGGCGACGACGGGUAGCCGGCCUGAGAGGGUGACCGGCCACACUGGGACUGAGACACGGCCCAGACUCCUACGGGAGGCAGCAGUGGGGAAUAUUGCACAAUGGGCGCAAGCCUGAUGCAGCGACGCCGCGUGAGGGAUGACGGCCUUCGGGUUGUAAACCUCUGUUAGCAUCGAAGAAGCGAAAGUGACGGUAGGUGCAGAGAAAGCGCCGGCUAACUACGUG